AACGCUGGUGGCGUGCUUAACACAUGCAAGUCGAACGGUGAAGCCCAGCUUGCUGGGUGGAUCAGUGGCGAACGGGUGAGUAACACGUGAGCAACCUGCCCUCCACUUCGGGAUAAGCCUUGGAAACGAGGUCUAAUACCGGAUAUGAGCGCCUGCCGCAUGGUGGGUGUUGGAAAGUUUUUCGGUGGGGGAUGGGCUCGCGGCCUAUCAGCUUGUUGGUGGGGUAAUGGCCUACCAAGGCGUCGACGGGUAGCCGGCCUGAGAGGGCGACCGGCCACACUGGGACUGAGACACGGCCCAGACUCUACGGGAGGCAGCAGUGGGGAAUAUUGCACAAUGGGCGAAAGCCUGAUGCAGCGACGCCACGUGAGGGAUGACGGCCUUCGGGUUGUAAACCUCUUUCAGCAGGGAAGAAGCGCAAGUGACGGUACCUGCAGAAGAAGCGCCGGCUAACUACGUGCCAGCAGCCGCGGUAAUACGUAGGGCGCAAGCGUUGUCCGGAAUUAUUGGGCGUAAAGAGCUCGUAGGCGGUCUGUCGCGUCUGGUGUGAAAUCCCAUGGCUCAACCAUGGGCUUGCAUCGGGUACGGGCAGACUAGAGUGCUGUAGGGGAGACUGGAAUUCCUGGUGUAGCGGUGGAAUGCGCAGAUAUCAGGAGGAACACCGAUGGCGAAGGCAGGUCUCUGGGCAGUUACUGACGCUGAGGAGCGAAAGCAUGGGGAGCGAACAGGAUUAGAUACCCUGGUAGUCCAUGCCGUAAACGUUGGGCACUAGGUGUGGGGCCAGUUCCACUGGUUCUGUGCCGCAGCUAACGCAUUAAGUGCCCCGCCUGGGGAGUACGGCCGCAAGGCUAAAACUCAAAGGAAUUGACGGGGGCCCGCACAAGCGGCGGAGCAUGCGGAUUAAUUCGAUGCAACGCGAAGAACCUUACCAAGGCUUGACAUGUACGAGAAAGCCCCAGAGAUGGGGUUCUCUUUGGACACUCGUACACAGGUGGUGCAUGGUUGUCGUCAGCUCGUGUCGUGAGAUGUUGGGUUAAGUCCCGCAACGAGCGCAACCCUUAUCCUAUGUUGCCAGCGGGUUAUGCCGGGGACUCAUGGGAGACUGCCGGGGUCAACUCGGAGGAAGGUGGGGAUGACGUCAAAUCAUCAUGCCCCUUAUGUCUUGGGCUUCACGCAUGCUACAAUGGCCGGUACAGAGGGCUGCGAUACCGUGAGGUGGAGCGAAUCCCAAAAAGCCGGUCUCAGUUCGGAUCGGGGUCUGCAACUCGACCCCGUGAAGUCGGAGUCGCUAGUAAUCGCAGAUCAGCAACGCUGCGGUGAAUACGUUCCCGGGCCUUGUACACACCGCCCGUCAAGUCACGAAAGUCGGUAACACCCGAAGCUCA
rnacentral:rRNA from 1 species